rnacentral:snoRNA from 1 species
AUUGCGGUGAUUAUAACACUUCAACCAAUUGUUCCGACUGAAUAUAAAAUGUAGUCAACACCUUUAUCGUUAAGUUUCAGCCUUGUAUGAGCUUU